GGCCCUGUAGCAUAGUCUGGUGGUGCGUUCGACUGAUAAUCGAAAGGUCCGGAGUUCAAAUCUCCGCGGGGCCA
rnacentral:tRNA from 1 species